rnacentral:rRNA from 1 species
AUUGAACGCUGGCGGCAUGCUUUACACAUGCAAGUCGAACGGCAGCGCGGGCUUCGGCCUGGCGGCGAGUGGCGAACGGGUGAGUAAUACAUCGGAACGUGCCCAGUAGUGGGGGAUAGCUCGGCGAAAGCCGGAUUAAUACCGCAUACGACCUGAGGGUGAAAGCGGGGGAUCUUCGGACCUCGCGCGAUUGGAGCGGCCGAUGGCAGAUUAGCUAGUUGGUGGGGUAAAGGCCUACCAAGGCGACGAUCUGUAGCUGGUCUGAGAGGACGACCAGCCACACUGGGACUGAGACACGGCCCAGACUCCUACGGGAGGCAGCAGUGGGGAAUUUUGGACAAUGGGCGAAAGCCUGAUCCAGCAAUGCCGCGUGUGUGAUGAAGGCCUUCGGGUUGUAAAGCACUUUUGGCGGGAACGAAAAGGACUGUGCCAAUACCACGGUUCGAUGACGGUACCCGCAGAAUAAGCACCGGCUAACUACGUG